AGAGUUUGAUCCUGGCUCAGAACGAACGCUGGCGGCAGGCUUAACACAUGCAAGUCGAGCGCCCCGCGAGGGGAGCGGCAGACGGGUGAGUAACGCGUGGGGAUGUACCCAAAGGUGCGGAAUAACUCAGGGAAACUUGAGCUAAUACCGCAUGUGCCCGAGAGGGGAAAGAUUUAUCGCCUUUGGAUCAACCCGCGUCAGAUUAGCUAGUUGGUAGGGUAAUGGCCUACCAAGGUGACGAUCUGUAGCUGGUCUGAGAGGAUGAUCAGCCACACUGGGACUGAGACACGGCCCAGACUCCUACGGGAGGCAGCAGUGGGGAAUAUUGGACAAUGGGCGCAAGCCUGAUCCAGCCAUGCCGCGUGAGUGAUGACGGCCUUAGGGUUGUAAAGCUCUUUUAACAGGGACGAUAAUGACGGUACCUGUAGAAUAAGCCCCGGCUAACUUCGUGCCAGCAGCCGCGGUAAUACGAAGGGGGCUAGCGUUGUUCGGAAUCACUGGGCGUAAAGCGCACGUAGGCGGAUUGUUAAGUCGGGGGUGAAAUCCUGANGCUCAACCUCAGAACUGCCUUCGAUACUGGCAUUCUUGAGUUCGG
rnacentral:rRNA from 1 species